CGGGGAGAAGAGAGGCGGCGGCAGGUCUUGCCCGGCCGGCGAAAAAAGAAGGGAGAGGAAGAAGCCGGGCGAGGCGGUGGCGGAGCCGCCGCCGCGGCCACCGCCGACGGACGUGAUAUUCAGCUACAAAUUAUGUUUUGACUUCCAACAUAUCCAACCCUAACUGAUGAGAUGACAGAAGCUGCACUUCCUCUCUUGUGUCUUUCUUAUAGUUACGGCUUCCCUUGGCAUGACACUAAAGAGUGAGCUUAUUCAUCUGAAGAUCAGACUACUUCUAUAGCUGCUGAUGGCUCAUUAAACUCUCAAGGAACUGCAUCUUCAUCCAUCUAAUACUAUUGGCACCUUGUGAAGGAGAAAACAAAGCCAAGAUGUGGAUAGAACAGAUGGACUGGGGGGAAAGCAAGGAACAUGUAAGCAGACCCUCCAAGAUUCAAGGAGAGACAGCACAACAUAAGAUGAAAAACAAAACAAAGGAUUUCAUACAUAGGUUUGAGACAUAGCCAAGGAAAGAGCUACACCUGUUUCUCUGAAGGACAGAGAAAUCAGCAUAGCUUAAUCACAGUAGCCUAAGGAGCUGGCAAUGCUGCGGAAUGGAUAUUGGCAUCACUGUUUGGAGCACCAUUGUCCAAAGUGAUUCAUAUGUUACAGGUGAAUCACAACUAAUGCCAAAGAGAAAAUUGUUGGUCUGUCCAAUUUUGGUAUUUGGCUGAAUAGUUUCAGAGAUGUCCCAUUUUGCUCUAAGGGAAUCCAGAAACUAAGCAUCAUUUCCAGUCAGUGCAUUAGUGCGCCCAAAGAGAAUAAGCACUUAUGUGGAACAUGUCCACAAGUGCCACUGUUUCAGAAUGUGCUCAUGAUACAACAAAAAUUAAUCAAAAUCAAAUGGGUUGGUUACACAUUAAGUCACUUCACUAUUACAUUGUCAGCCAAUAUCACAAGAGUUUUCUUAGUUUCUCUGUGCACUAUUCAAGUGCACAGAGAGAUUAAGAUGUUUAAGAGGAAAUUGUUAUGUUAUAUAGAGGUAAUUAUAUUAUAUGUGUUGGAAAUAGGCAUUGAAUGCUUCCCAAAAUGCCAGUAAAUCCUCAACCCACUGUAUUUAUGUACUGCUAGAGAGCUUUAAAAAAUAUCUUUCCUCUCCCAUAUAACUUUUCUAAUGCCUAGAUAGUUUCUGUGAUAUAAUUAAAGAACUGUGUUGUUU